CUGAAGUUUUGGCCGCAAGGCCACUCUUCCACCCUCUGUUUAUCACCCCUUUGUUGCUUUGGCGGGCCGCCCUUGGGCCACCGGCUCCGGCUGGUGCGCGCUCGCCAGAGACCCCAACGAACCUGUAUAUCACUGUGUCUUGUCUGAACAAAACCCCAAUUAUUA
rnacentral:misc_RNA from 1 species